GGCGCUAUAGCCAAGUGGUUACGGCGAGUGAUUAGAACUGGUUUCGAACCUGUGCAUUAUCACUUCCACUUUGUGGGCGCAGGUUCGAGUCCUGCUGGCGUCG
rfam:Trametes pubescens strain FBCC735 TRAPTBscaffold_1686, whole genome shotgun sequence.